GGGCUUCCCUGGUAUGGGGAGAGCUGCUGUAAUAAGGGGGGAGGGGCAGGGGCAUCCCUGGUGGAGGAAGCCCCCCUCCCCCGCUGUGGCAGCAGGUGGGGGAGGAGCAAUCCCCUUAAGCAGCCAGUCUGGAUGGGAAGUGUCCUCUCCCUUCCUUCUCUGACCCCGCAGACCCUGGACACUGAGUCAGCCCCCCCACUCCCCUCGUUUCCCUGGGUCCCUCCCUGUUCAUGGCCGGCCUCCCACUCCCCUCUGCUGCCUGUCGGUGGGCGGGUGGAGUCUUCCCAGGGCCGGAGCCGCAGCGGAGCCUGGCACAGGGAGGCGGCGCACUGGGAGACCGUGGCCGCGCCCGCCGGCUCUGAGGGCUGCUUUGGAGGGUCCCGAAUUGGGGGGGCCCUCCUUUCUCUCCUCCUGGGGGCCAUUUGGCUCCACUUUCCUGGUCCAGACUGUCUUCUGGCAAAAGAAAGCCCCCAUGGGGGGGCACUCUCUCUGGCCCGGGAGGGGUCUCUGCGCAGAAUGCCGGGGUGGGGAGCGGAUCCCGCCUCCAUGCUGCCCCCCCCCCCACGCUUCUUCCCGGCGGCCCCGAGGAGGAGGCGUGCGAGCUCUGAGCGCCUGGCCAGACCCCCCACGACGCCGCGGGGAGCGCUCGCUGUGGGGCCGUAUCAUUCAAUGUGACCCCCGGCGAGAGGGGCGCGGGCUCGCGGACGCGAGCUGGGGCUUUGCAUUCCCCUGAAUUGGCCCUUUGAGAGCUCAGCCGGCCGGAGCCGGCGACCCCCGGAGCGCAGCGCGGGCUGCGAGCACAAAGGGGGCGUCGCAGGCGCCGUGAAUAAUGGGCAGCCCCUUUCAGCAGCCACCACGGGGGCUUUUCUGCUCGGCUGAUGGGGGAGGACAAUGCCGAGGAGGCCCUUUGACGCCGCCACCAACAGUGUCCCCAUUCAGAGGCUUUGGGAACCGCGGGCCAUUGUGCCCGAGUGACGGGAGAGGGAGGCCGGCCCGGAGGGGACGGCCCGGGCCCUGCCGCGCAGACCGGCCCCGAGCUCCUUCUGGCUCCCCAGCGGCCGGGCGGCUCCGGCCCCCCAGCACAGCUCCCUCACAGCUCCCCCUACUAUUGCCACCUCGCCACAGCCCCUCAUCACAACUCCCCCUCCCCCCCCCUCGCCACAGCCCCUCAUCACACUCCCCCUACUUUACUCCCCAUCAUGGCCCCACCCCCACCUAUCCCCCUCCCUGCUCAGCACAGACAAGAGGAGGAAGGGAGCCGAUCUCCGGUGUGGUCAGCCCGGGCCCCUGAGCUUAGGCCACAGCUGGACGGGCAAGGGGGCGCCGGCCUGGCCCUCUGAGGGAGGGGGGCGUUCGGAGCCAUACGGGGAAGGUGGUCCCCAACAUACAGAGACUCACACGCGCAUGUGCGCACACGCCCUCUCCGGGUUAGGGUCCAGAGGACGGAUGAAUGCAGAAUGGGACGGGACCCUCGGCCAGAGGGGGUCCCCCAGGAGGAAGGGGCCCGCCCCGGCCCCGGGAACUUCCUGAAACCCCCACGCCGUUCAGAUCCGUGAAACGGGCCCCCCCAUGAUGGGGUCCCGCCGUCCCCCUCUGGAAACAAGGCGGGGGCGCGUCCGGCAGAACCCCCGGCGUGAAGCGCCCUUUGUGCCCGUCAUCGUUUUCUCACAAAUAUAGUCCUUUGUCAGCUCGCCGGAGUUAAUUUGAUCAACAUUGGAGCAUUUAACUUUUGUGCCCGCUCAAAGGGGCUGUUUCAUGCCCAUUUGGGGCAUUCAAAAGGGAUGAUUACCAGAAAAAUAAUGUGCCCGCGCACAAUUGGGAGCAAUUAGUUUCCCAGGGAGCGGCGAGUGAUGCACGGCCUCCACACAGCUCCCCUUUGUCGCCGCGGGGACGGUCAUCAGUCAGCUGUCAGCGCGGCUCAAAGGGCCCUCCGGCCCCGGCCUUCUCUCGGGGCUUUUCCCAGAACGGGCGGAUGAAUGGGCUAAAGAAAAGCGCCGCGGUCUCCAGGCAAAGGGGAGCUCGGCCCGAAGGAUGCGGGUCAUCCCGGGAGCCCCCAGAGUCACCGCAGCGUCCUGGGCGCCUCACGUGGAAUGUGGGUGUGAGAGACAGUGUGAGAGACAGAGAUGGAGAGAGAGAGAAAGAGGUGGAGAGAGAAAAAAGAGAGACAGAGAAACAGAGAGAGAGACAGAGAGACAGAGACAGAGAGAUGGAGAGAGAGGUAGAGAGAGAAAAAAGAGAGAGGUGGAGAGAGAAAACAGAGAGGUGGAGAGAGAAAAAAGAGGUGGAGAAAGAAAAAAGAGAGACAGACAGAGAAACAGAGAGAGAGAGAGACGCACACACAGAGAGACAGAGAGAUGGAGAGAGGGGUAGAGAGAGAAAAAAGAGAGGUGGAAAGAGAAACAGAGAGGUGGAGAGAGAAAAAAGAGAGAGGUGGAGAGAGAAAAAAGAGAGAGACAGACAGAGAAACAAAGAGAUAGACACAGAGAGACAGAGACAGACGGAGAGAGAUAGAGAGAGAAAAAAGAGAGAGAAACAGAGAUAGACACAGAGAGAGACAGAGACACAGAAACAGAGAGAUAUAGAAAAAAGAGAGAUGGAGAGAGAAAAAAGAGAGAGGUGGAGAGAGAAAAGAGAGAGGUGGAGAGAGAAAAGAGAGAGGUGGAGAGAGAAAAAAGAGAGGUGGAGAGAGAAAAAAGAGAGAGAUGGAGAGAGAAAAAGAGAUGGAGAGAGAAAAAAGAGAGAGAGAGGGAGAGGUGGAGAGAGAAAAAAGAGAGAGACAGACAGAGAAACAGAGAUAGACACAGAGAGACAGAUUCAGACGGAGAGAGGUAGAGAGAGAAAAAAGAGAGAGAUAGACACACAGAGAGAGAGACAGACACAGAGAGAGGUAGAGAGAAAAAAGAGAGCGGUGGAGAGAGAAAACAGAGAGAGGUGGAGAGAGAAAAAAAAGAGAGAGACAGACAGAGAAACAGAGAGAUAGACACAGAGAGACAGAGACAGACGGAGAGAGGAAGAGAGAGAGACAGACAGAGAAACAGAGAGAGAUAGAGAGACAGAGACAGAGAGAGGUAGAGAAAAAAGAGAGGUGGAGAGAGAAAAAAGAGGUGGAGAGAGAAAAAAGAGAGGUGGAGAGAGAAAAAAGAGAGAUGGAGAGAGAAAAAAGAGGUGGAGAGAGAAAAAAGAGAGAUGGAGAGAGAAAAAAGAGAGAGAAGGAGAGGUGGAGAGAGAAAAAAGAGAGAGACAGAGAAACAGAGAUAGACACAGAGACAGAUUCAGACGGAGAGAGGUAGAGAGAGAAAAAAGAGAGAGAGAAAACAGAGAGAGGUGGAGAGAGAAAAAAGAGAGAGGUGGAGAGAGAAAAAAGAGAGAGGUGGAGAGAGAAAAAAGAGAGAGAUAGAAAUAGAGAAACAGAUGCACAGAGAAUGACAGAGAGACACAGAGACAGAGACACAAAGAGAGACGGAGAGAAAAGAGAGACAAGAGAGACACAGAGAGAAGGAGACAGAGAGAGGUGGAGAGAGAAAAGAGAGACAGAGAAAGACAGAGAGAGAGAGAAAGAGACAGAGAUAGAGAAACAAAGAGAGAGAGAGAAGGACAAGAGAGAGAGACAGAGACAUAUACACACACAGAGAGAGAGACAGAGAGAGAUGGGGAGACAGAGAAAGAGAGAGGGAGAUUGAGAGACAGAAUCAGAGACAGAAACAGAGAAAUGGACAAAGAGAUAGGGAAAGAAAGGGAGGCAGAGACAGGGAUGGAGAGAUUCAAAGACAAAGAGACACAGAGAGAGACAUAAAAACAAACGGAGAAAAAGUCAGAGCGAUGAAGAGAUAGAGACAGGGAGAGAGAGACAGAAACAGAUGGGGAGAGACAGGGAGAGUUAGAGAUAGGAGAGAGACACAGAGAGAGAUGGAGACUGGGGGGGGGGGGGUCCGGAGCCUGGGCCAGCGCACUGCUGGCAGGAGUCGGCGAACAACGUGGUGCCCAGUGGACACUCUCCGUGUCGGUCGCGGUGGCUUCUCUCCCCGCCGUACGUGUCAGGGUCCCGGAGCGCCGCCUCUCUGGCUCCCCCCCCCCCCAGCCGCUAUGACGCCCCCUGGAUCUUUUAUGGGGUUAUGAUCAGUACGGGGAGAUGAGAGAUGACAUCAUCCUCCCCCCCACCCCCUUUCCCCCUUAGUGUCUCCUGGUGUCCUUGGGAUGGACGGGAAGGAAUGGAGAACGGGGAGUUUAAGGAAAGAGAAGGCAGAGAGUGCGGGAGACCCCCCCCCCCCCCCCCAGCCAGUGUCAGGGAAGCGCGCUGGGCCGAGAGGCCGGUCCUGGCCGGGCAGCCUCGGGGACCAGACUGGAGGCCGAGGGACGGCCCCUCAGGGCCCACCGUUCCCGGGCCUGCUGCUGCUUGGCCCAGCUCGGCCCGGGGCUCUCCUGGUCUCCCGAGCGCCCCCUUAAUUUGCCCCCAGGGAGAAGGCUCCGGCAGCGUCUUUGGAGACCUCUCAGCGUCGGGCGCUUGGGCACGGCUUCGCCCACAGGGUCCCCGCCGCUUAUCCCACCCAACGUGGCCACGUGGGGAAACCUGCAGGGACCCGCUGGCCGAGGGCUGCUGGACCUGGGGGGCGGGGCCCAGACCCCGACUUCAGGAAGUACAGUCAGCCCCGGCCUGGGGCGCCCGGCCCGGGAGCCCGGGCUGUCUCACCGUGAAGGGUCCAGAAGGGAACAGUCACAGACAGGAGGACACCCGAGGCUGGGGCUCCGCGAGGGCCACCGGGCCCCGGGCCCCUGGGCGUCGGCUUUAGGACAAGGGGCCCUGGGAGCCACUAGGAGUCCCUGCUCUGCCUCAGCCUCAGGACAAGGGCCCCUGAGGGCUCCAGAAGGAGGUCCCUGGGCCUGGCCUGGCCCGCAGCCCUCGGGCCGCCCCUCCCUUCCCCAGGCGGGGGCCGCGCCCGCCCCUCCUCUGCCGCAGGCACUGACAGGUCCUUCCAUCACCGGCCGGGCUCCUAUUCCAUUAGGCGGCCGUCAGUGUCGCGGAGCCGUCAAGCCAGAGCGAGGCAGUUUCCAAGGCCUAAAAAAUUGAUUUUUAUGGCUCUUCUUGUGUAUUAGGUAUAUGAUAUUGAUGCGGGCCUUCUUUUAGCCUUAAUAGCUCCUGACAAGGGAAUUAAUUUUAAAAAACACCCCCCCCCCCCAGCACCACAGUGGAAUUAAAAAUGACCGCGGCGAGCGAGGCGGCUCUGGCAGGGCCGGGCCCGGCGACCGCCGCGGCGCUGACGACGGCCUCCAUCUUGCCGCCCGACCUUUGAGAUCGUUGGCUGUUAUUGAUGGUCGCCGGCUGUUCUGUCAGCGCGCGGCCGAACAUGAUGAAGUUUAGCCUUUUAACGACAGGAUUCGGGCGUCGGAGCCUCGCCCCGCGGGCGCUUACAUCGGGCCGUUCCGGGCCCACUUGUCACCGGGCGAGUUUUCCUGAGUGUUCUUCCUGGCGGGGGCCUGGCCACAGGGCACACCCUGCCGGGGGGAGGGGCAGCAGAGCUUCUCCCCCAGCGGGCAAGACCCGGCGGGCGGUGUCUCGCAGGAGCCCCCCACCCCUGGCCGCCCGUCAUCGGCUCUCGGCUCUGGGCCCCGGCCCUCUCCUCCCAGGCCGCUGGCUCCGCGCCUCCCUGUGCUGGGUAAAUGUGGACGCAGGGGGCUGCGAACCGUGGCAGAGCCCCCCCUCUGGGAGACCCCUGUCCCCGCAGUAACCUUCCCCUCGCUGCGGGGGGACACCACGGCCAGGCUUCCCAGGGCGCGGCCUUCAUUGUCUCGGCUCCCGUGACUGCAGAAAAUGCCGGGGGGCCAGAGUCCGGACCGCAGACCCAGGGAGCCCCUCGCCCGCGUGAGCGGGGCCGGAAUCUCCCGGGGAAGCUCCAAGCGGGGCAGGCGGGGGCCGGACACCGAGCGGGCCCAGCCAGGAGGAGCCCGGGCCGGCCCCACCCCCCUCGCCUUCCCCAUUCAGCAGCCUGACAGAGGGAGGGAGGGGGGUGGGCUUUGUUUUGUUUUGUUUUUAAAGGGAAAAACGGCCUUUUCAGGAGCCUCGAGUCGGGAUGAAUGGGCCCGGGAAGCAUGUUUAUAGACUGAGCUCGGAACUUUGUCUUUGUGUGGGAAUGUCGGUGACACUGUCACGGUCGGCCUGAAUGAGCGGGGAGGCCGGGGCCAACAGGGAGCCCCGCGGGGGGCCGGGCCGGCCGGACCUCCCACCGCCGGCCAUUCAGCGCCAGCUCCCGCGGCCGAUUGUCCCAUCCCCUCAACGCCUGCGCUCCCGAGGCAACGCUCACACCGAAGGCCCCGGGAAGUCAGCGUGUAAACACAAGGUUCCCUCCUGACCCGCUGCCGCCGCCUCGGCUCGGCACAAAACCCGCCGGCGGCCGCAUUAGGCACGGCUAUUAGCGGGAUAAUGCGGCCCAUCCGCUACAAAGCGCCCGCGGGACUGGGUCGGGCCCGCCCGCCGAGGCUCCCCCGCACGAGCGCCGCACGUGGGCCCGGCCGGGCCGUGUCCGAGGUGCCCCCGGCUCCUCCCAGGCCAUGGCCCAGCACAGAGGGCCCCCGGGUGCCCCUGCUUGCAGUCGGCCCUGACCCCUCUGGGAAGCGCCCGUCUCCGACCCCCCCUCCGGGUUGGGUCUCCGUGCCCGCCGGGCAGAGCUGGAGCAGCCCCGGAGGCCGGGCAGAGCGGAGCAAGGCCGCUGGCUGCCCUUCUCCCUAUUGCGGGAGAAACUGGUGUGCGAUUUCUCAUGGUUUUUGGGCUGUGGGGAUCCCAUUUGUGCAGAGCGCCCCUGAACCCAUGGGCCCCUGGGGGUGGGCGGGGGAGCUCGGGGUCCCGAGAGCGCCUCCCGUGGGGCAGCAGCAGGGGCUCUGAACAAGGCCUGACGGGCCCGGAACCACCCGGGCCUGAGGAGGGGUCCCCCUCUGCCUGGGCGGGGCUUCUCUCUGCCAGAAGGGCCCCAGACCCUCCCCCUCCCCCAACAGGUGCCCCGGACUCGUGGGGACACCGGCCUGGCCCGGGCUGGCCCAGCGGCUCCGAGCCCACCGAAGGGGGCCCAGCUUCCUCCCGGCCACCGGGCCACGGUCUCUCGCCUCGACCCAGCACGGGCCCGCCGCGCCGUGGGCCCCACGUGGGUAACGGAGCUCUCUUCUC